UGCAUGGGCCGAUCCUCUCGGUUUUGGGUUGUUCUCCUCCCCCUGAUCAUCCCCAUAUCCAAUCUGAUCAGAUCAGACGCACCAGAUUAAUCUGAACUUCAAAGCUUGAUCUAGGACGAUCUAGGCCGAACCGGACUUAGCUCCAGGUACUUGACGGUUUGAGUUGACGAGCGUUUGGAUAUCGUUAUAAUUGACUUGUUAGAAGACGCAGCGGGAUUAGAGGUGAGUAAACCUCACUUGGUUCAUAUUACGAACCGAAUAAAUUUAAUUAUUCUAUUUUUUGUGGAAAUUGUGUGAAAAUAUUUAUGGAAUAAAUAUUUGUUUUAAAUCAUAUGGACUUGAUCAACUACGGUCC
rnacentral:lncRNA from 1 species